AGCAGCCGCGGUAAUUCCAGCUCCAAUAGCGUAUAUUAAGGUUGUUGCAGUUAAAAAGCUCGUAGUUGAAUUUCGGGAUCAAUACGUCGGUCGUGCUUCGGUACGUACUGGCGUAAUUGAUUUCUCCCUUCUGACGAACCAUGAUGUCAUUAACUUGGUGUCAUGGGAAAUCAGGACUGUUACUUUGAAAAAAUUAGAGUGUUUAAAGCAGGCUCACGCUUGAAUACAUUAACAUGGAAUAAUGAAAUAGGACGUUCAAUCCUAUUUUGUUGGUUUUUAGGAUCAACGUAAUGAUUAAUAGGGAUAGUUGGGGGCAUUAGUAUUCAAUUGUCAGAGGUGAAAUUCUUGGAUUUAUUGAAGACUAACUACUGCGAAAGCAUUUGCCAAGGAUGUUUUCAUUAAUCAAGAACGAAAGUUAGGGGAUCGAAGACGAUCAGAUACCGUCGUAGUCUUAACCAUAAACUAUGCCGACUAGGGAUCGGAUGAUGUUAAUUUUUAAUGACUCAUUCGGCGCCUUACG
rnacentral:rRNA from 1 species